rnacentral:lncRNA from 1 species
CCAGAGCUGCCCAGGGCUGCGGCGCCCACCCCACACCGCACCGACCCGCGCCCGGGUCCGAGUUCCCUCUGUCCGGGAGCUGGCCCUUGCCGCUCCAUCUCCAGUCCCGGCGAUCCUCAGCCCGGGAGGAGGCGAUCUGGACAGCCACACGGAGCUCCCGGGUCUGGAAGUUCGCGACCUGGGGAGUGUUGGGAGGCGAAGUGUCCUCAAACUACUCUUGGAUGGGACGGGGCUGACAAGUCUCGGGUGAUGCAGGUCAAAGAGGUCCUCCCCCAGAUGCCUGGCUUUACCUAGUGCCCUUACCAGGGCAGGUAGGGUCCCACAGCCCCCUGGAGGCUUCCCUGCCAUUCACCAACUAAAGAUAGUGAUCACAAGGACAAGAACAAUGAUAAAUGGGAGGAAGAGGUGAGAGACACUCUCUUUUGUCCUCUCCACCAGGCAGGUGUCUUGGUGUCCCCUGGUACCCAUGAAGAAACAGCCUCAGAGAGGACAGGUAAGUUACCCACGACUUGACACGGCGCAGACUCAAGCCACUCCGCUGCACCUACUCAGCACAGGCACUCACUGCCUCCACAGCCUCCCCACCUCCCUCCAACAGGGACUCCCUUACCCACCCCUUAAAUUCUCUCUGGCCUCUCAGGCUAACUCCCUAUGGUGUCUCCUCUCAUUACCUUGUCACAAUGAAGACUUUACAAGGUGUUUCCUGGCUUCCUCAACACAAGCCCAUCACCUCUCUGAGGGCCUGGGAGCCUGGGGCCUACCCACACAAUGUCUCCUGUUCCUCCACUCUGACCAAAUCACCCUCUGCCAAGGGCCUUCUCCAUGCUCCAGGGACCUCUGCCUGCUGCUCUUCCCUGAGAACCCAGCCUCGCCUCUCUGGGCUCAGAGGUCCCCUCUUCCAGGAAGCCUUCCAGGGAAGACUGAGCUGGGGAAGGCCCAGGAGGCCAUUGUCCUCACCCAGAAUCCUAUCUCUGGGCCAGUUUGGCAAGUGGUAGGUGGGUGGAGGCAAGCCUAUGGCACCCUGGGUUAAGGUCUAGGUGCCCAUGGGGCAGUCCUCCCAGGCAUGUAGGAAGCCAGACUGGCACCCGAGGGCCCUAUCUCAGAAGCAGUCCACAGACCCUGCCUCUGGGGCACCUGAGGACUGCUGGGCUGAGGCUAGGUCUCACAGACAGGUGUUCCAGGACGAAAUGGGCAGGUGAGUGGAGAGGUCUGGGCUAGCAUGGGGUAGGGCUAGACUUCACAGGCAGGUUUGUGAAGAGCUCCAACAGGUGUGCAGCUGCUAAGGCCAGGUGUUCCUAAAGUUGGCUGUGAAGUGCGGGGAGGUCAGAAGGAGGAGGUGGCCCAGAAGGGCGGGAGAGGUGAGCAGUGGGGAGGGAUCAUGGACAGGUGCAGCUACCACAGCAUGUGUGGGAACAAGUGCGCCUGCGCCCAGUCUUCUGUCCCCCUGGCGUUGCU